UUUUAUAAAAAAAAAAUUGUGUUUUUAGCUAAACAUAAAAUUAAAUAGAUCGGCUAAUUCUUAUUCUACGCCGAGUAAAACAGGUUCCAGCAUGAAACAGUACGAAUACAUUGACGUAGAAUACUUUUAUAGGCACGAACGAUUACGUUAAUUUCCAUUUUCUUUCCCUUGCGUCACUCUUGGCAAUAGAGGCGCGUAUAAAAAUUACGCGCGUUUUCCACGUUACAUAAAACAUUCAUGUAAACAAGAAAAGCAAGGUAUAAUGCGGAAAAAUAUAUGUAAUAAGGCAAGGUGGCGAUACGAUAUAAUCCUUAAAUAAAAAGAUCGUAGUAUAUUUCAUGCCCCUGACUUUCGUCGAGGGUUGGACGCGCGCCCUCGUCCAGUUCCCCGUUUCACCCUACGUAUAAAUUCUGUGGCAGACGAUGGUAUUGAUCUAGCAUUUCCACUGGCAUGGCUUCUGUUGUCCCCAACAGCUGUUUUAUAAAGAAACCCGUACACGCUCGGGUUGUGAUAGCGCGCGGUCAUUUAAAAACACGCGCUACUGCAUCGACAUGUACAAACACGUGAACGCCGAUCUCAAACACAUAUAAAAGAACAACUAUAGAUCGUAGUGUAUAUUGCGCAGCAUUAAUAUUAUGAACAGAUAGCCGACCGAGCUGCCAGCUGUUGUCACCUAAUUAUCUCUGUCGCCAUUAGCGAUAGGGUUCAGACAGUGAAAUCGACCGAUAAAAUGCAAAUAGUUAUUCCGGAGAGACAUUUGCGAGCUCUACCGAGGAAACUUUGCGCCGCAACGUAUGAAAUAUAAUUCCGUUUACUGAGUUCGGGGAAAAAGGCUUCCUUGCGUUGUUCCGUAAAGGGUCGACAUACAUGGCGGCCAUGUUGAAAUAUUAGAUAGGAGAAAAAAAUCUGCACAAUUUAUAGGAUAUUGUUCGAGAUCAAAGAAGGUCAGAUUUGUCAGGCUAGCCCAUGGGCGGCGACUAUUUUUCGGGCAGUAGACUUAGGGAGAAAGUAAAGACGCGACAUGACAACCGUCAAUUAAAAUUUCCCUCAAAAGAAGCCAUAAAACGGUGAAAUACAGCUUCGUCCAAAG
rnacentral:lncRNA from 1 species